UGUCACUAUACCCCACUCCCUCUAACAUGUAAACUCACUGAGCAGGCUCUCAAUCCCCCUGUUACUGUGUCACUAUACCCCACUUCCUCUAACAUGUAAGUUCACUGAGCAGGGCCCUCGCUCCCUCUGUUUAAGUGUCACUAUACCCCACUCCCUCUAACAUGUAAACUCACUGAGCAGGGCCCUCAAUCCCUCUGUUACUGUGUCACUAUACCCCACUUACUCUAACAUGUAAGUUCACUGAGCAGGGCCCUCACUCCCUCUGUUAAAGUGUCACUAUACCCCACUCCCUCUAGCAUGUAAGCUCACCGAGCAGGCCCUCAAUCCCUCUUUUACUGUGUCACUAUACCCCACUCCAUCUAGCAUGUAAGCUCACUGAGCAGGACCCUCAAUCCCUCUGUUACUGUGUCACUAUACCCCACUCCCACUAACAUGUAAGCUCACUGAGCAGUGCCCUCAAUCCCUCUGUUACUGUGUCACUAUACCCCACUCCCUCUAACAUGUAAGCUCACUGAGCAGUGCCCUCAAUCCCUCUGUUACUGUGUCACUAUACCCCACUCCCUCUAGCAUGUGAACUCACUGAGCAGGACCUCAAUCCCUCUGUUACUGUGUCACUAUACCCCACUCCCUCUAGCAUGUGAACUCACUGAGCAGGGCCCUCAAUCCCUCUGUUACUGUGUCACUUUACCCCACUUCCUCUAACAUGUAAGCUCACUGAGCAGGGCCCUCAACCCCUCUGUUCCUGUCACUAUACCCCACUCCCUCUAACAUGUAAGCUCACUGAGCAGGGCCCUCAAUCCCUCUGUUACUGUGUCACUAUACCCCACUCCCUCUAACAUGUAAACUCACUGAGCAGGGCCCUCAAUCCCCCUGUUACUGUCAC